rnacentral:rRNA from 1 species
UACGGAGGAUGCGAGCGUUAUCCGGAUUUAUUGGGUUUAAAGGGUGCGUAGGCCGGUCUUUAAGCGUGCCGUGAAAUUUUGUGGCUCAACCAUGAGAGUGCGGCGCGAACUGGAGACCUUGAGUGCGCGGAAGGCAGGCGGAAUUCGUGGUGUAGCGGUGAAAUGCGUAGAUAUUAGGAGGAACACCAGUGGCGAAGGCGGCCUGCUGGACGAUGACUGACGUUGAGGCUCGAAAGCGUGGGGAGCAAACAGG